rnacentral:rRNA from 1 species
AUGCAGAGAACUUUCCAGAGAUGGAUUGGUGGCCUUCGGGAACGUCUGACACAGGUGCUGCAUGGCUGUCGUCAACUCGUGUCGUGAGAUGUUGGGUUAAGUCCGUAACGAGCGCAACCCUUGUCCUUAGUUACCAGCACGUUAUGGUGGGCACUCUAAGGAGACUGCCGGUGACAAACCGGAGGAAGGUGGGGAUGACGUCAAGUCAUCAUGGCCCUUACGGCCUGGGCUACACACGUGCUACAAUGGUCGGUACAAAGGGUUGCCAAGCCGCGAGGUGGAGCUAAUCCCAUAAAACCGAUCGUAGUCCGGAUCGCAGUCUGCAACUCGACUGCGUGAAGCCGGAAUCGCUAGUAAUCGUGAAUCAGAAUGUCACGGUGAAUACGUUCCCGGGCCUU